rnacentral:lncRNA from 1 species
AAGGAGAGAGGCAUGAGAGUGGUCAGACAUAGGGGUCUGAGCUUGGCAAGUGCUGGCAAAUUUUUCUGUAAAGGGUCUACAAGAAGCUGUGUGUGGGGUGAUGACCUGAAUAAAGUCCACGGUGGAGCCCCUCCACUAUCAGGAGCCAAUGCGACAGUGGAUCAAAGGUGCGUUGCGGUCACUUCCCCUGGUACCCAGAGCAGGCAGCCAGAAGUGAGGAGCUCUGAAAUGACUAAGUUGCAAGAUGUAAACAGCCUGUUACCGAUUGGAGAGAGCCACACAAGAGAGGUACUUGACCUGCACUGAAUGGUGACACAAGUGAGAAAUAAACCUUUGUUGGGUUAGACCACUUAGAAUUUUGAGCUUCUUUAUUACUACAGUCUAUUUUACUAUACUGUGACUAAUAUAAAUGCUAUACUAAGACAGAUAUUCAUACAUUGAAGUAGGGCAUUGCUAUAACAGCUUAAAGGUCUGUGGCAGGCUAAGAGAAAAACCAG